rnacentral:rRNA from 1 species
GGCGGACGGGUGAGUAACGCGUAGGAAUCUACCUGGUAGUGGGGGACAACCUGGUGAAAACCAGGCUAAUACCGCAUACGCCCUACGGGGGAAAGCAGGGGAUCUUCGGACCUUGCACUAUCAGAUGAGCCUGCGUCGGAUUAGCUAGUUGGUGAGGUAAUGGCUCACCAAGGCGACGAUCCGUAGCUGGUUUGAGAGAAUGAUCAGCCACACUGGGACUGAGACACGGCCCAGGCUCCUACGGGAGGCAGCAGUGGGGAAUAUUGGACAAUGGGGGCAACCCUGAUCCAGCAAUACCGCGUGUGUGAAGAAGGCCCGAGGGUUGUAAAGCACUUUCAAUUGUGAAGAAAAGCCUAANGUUAAUAACCUUGGGUCUUGACGUUAACUUUAUAAUAAGCACCGGCUAACUCCGUGCAACCAGCCGGCGGUAAUACAGAGCGUGCAAACGGUAGUCAGAAUUACUGCGCCUAUAGCGCACGU